AAAGAUAAUGACCAAAUAUUUUCCAUUCAUUCAUUGUGUAACCCUGUAAUAAAGAUGAAGCUGCUGUUUCUCUUUGCCUUCCUUGCGGUCGUCGCUUGCACUGUUCAGUCCUGUAGAGAUUGCUAUAGCAUGGGGAAGCGAUACCGAGGAAAUCAAACUUUCUCGUUGGUCUCUUUGUGUACUCGAUACACUUGUAAAUGCGGUUGCAAUGGGAUAACUUAUUGCCCAAGGAGUCUUAGAAAGAAAAUACCAUGCGGAAGAAAACGAAGGAGUCAGAGGAAUGAUGAUCACAGUUAGUGGCGAGGGUGGAUGCAGCUGUCAGGUGGUUGCGAUAUUGUAAAGACUGUUAUCGACACGAAUUCCUCUGCUGUCCUUUAGCGGUGAACAGAGACAAAUGCUUCAGUUGUUCUUUUGUAAAACUAUAUUUUAUUACAGUUUGAAUAAAUGAACUUUGCAAUCUGCAAUCAAA